AUUGAACGCUGGCGGCAGGCCUAACACAUGCAAGUCGAGCGGAGCGGCGGAAGGGUGUGUAAUGCCUAGGACUCUGCCUGGUAGUGGGGGAUAACGUCCGGAAACGGGCGCUAAUACCGCAUACUAUCAGAUGAGCCUCGGUCGGAUUAGCCAGUUGGUGGGGUAAAGGCCUACCAAGGCGAAGAUCCGUAACGGGUCUGAGCGGCUGAUAAGUCACACUGGAACUGAGACACGGUCCAGACUCCUAAGGGAGGCAGCAGUGGAGAAUAUGGGGCAAUGGGCGAAAUCCUGAUCCAGCCAGGCGGCGUCUGAGAAGAAGGUCUUCGGAUUGGAAAGCACUUUAAGUUGGGAGGCGUUACCAACAGAAUAAGCACCGGCUAACUUCGUGCCAGCAGCCGCGGUAAUUC
rnacentral:rRNA from 1 species